AUUGAACGCUGGCGGCAUGCCUUACACAUGCAAGUCGAACGGCAGCACGGACUUCGGUCUGGUGGCGAGUGGCGAACGGGUGAGUAAUACAUCGGAACGUGCCCAGUAGUGGGGGAUAACUAUUCGAAAGAGUAGCUAAUACCGCAUACGACCUACGGGUGAAAGUGGGGGAUCGCAAGACCUCAUGCUAUUGGAGCGGCCGAUGUCAGAUUAGCUAGUUGGUGAGGUAAAAGCUCACCAAGGCGACGAUCUGUAGCUGGUCUGAGAGGACGACCAGCCACACUGGGACUGAGACACGGCCCAGACCCCUACGGGAGGCAGCAGUGGGGAAUUUUGGACAAUGGGCGCAAGCCUGAUCCAGCAAUGCCGCGUGUGUGAAGAAGGCCUUCGGGUUGUAAAGGACUUUUGUCAGGGAGGAAAUCCCUAGUGCUAAUAACACUGGGGGAUGACAGUACCUGAAGAAUAAGCACCGGCUAACUACGUGCCAGCCGCCGCAGUAA
rnacentral:rRNA from 1 species